UACGAAGGGUGCAAGCGUUACUCGGAAUCACUGGGCGUAAAGCGUGCGUAGGCGGUUUCUUAAGUCUGUCGUGAAAGCCCUGGGCUCAACCUGGGAAUGGCGAUGGAUACUGGGAGGCUAGAGUGUGAUAGAGGAUGGUGGAAUUCCCGGUGUAGCGGUGGAAUGCGUAGAUAUCGGGAGGAACACCAGUGGCGAAGGCGGCUUUCUGGCCUGCUCUUGACGCUGAGGCGCGAAAGCUAAGGGUAGCAAACGGGG
rnacentral:rRNA from 1 species